UACAGAGGGUGCAAGCGUUAAUCGGAAUUACUGGGCGUAAAGCGCGCGUAGGUGGUUUGUUAAGUUGGAUGUGAAAGCCCCGGGCUCAACCUGGGAACUGCAUCCAAAACUGGCAAGCUAGAGUAGGGCAGAGGGUGGUGGAAUUUCCUGUGUAGCGGUGAAAUGCGUAGAUAUAGGAAGGAACACCAGUGGCGAAGGCGACCACCUGGGCUCAUACUGACACUGAGGUGCGAAAGCGUGGGGAGCAAACAGG
rnacentral:rRNA from 2 species